UACGAAGGGGGGCUAGCGUUGCUCGGAAUCACUGGGCGUAAAGCGCACGUAGGCGGAUUGCUAAGUCAGGGGUGAAAUCCUGGAGCUCAACUCCAGAACUGCCUUUGAUACUGGCGAUCUUGAGUCCGGGAGAGGUGAGUGGAACUGCGAGUGUAGAGGUGAAAUUCGUAGAUAUUCGCAAGAACACCAGUGGCGAAGGCGGCUCACUGGCCCCGAUACUGACGCUGAGGCGCGAAAGCUAGGGGAGCGAACAGG
rnacentral:rRNA from 1 species